AGCGAACGCUGGCGGCAGGCUUAACACAUGCAAGUCGAGCGGGCGUAGCAAUACGUCAGCGGCAGACGGGUGAGUAACGCGUGGGAACGUACCUUUUGGUUCGGAACAACACAGGGAAACUUGUGCUAAUACCGGAUAAGCCCUUACGGGGAAAGAUUUAUCGCCGAAAGAUCGGCCCGCGUCUGAUUAGCGAGUUGGUGAGGUAACGGCUCACCAAGGCGACGAUCAGUAGCUGGUCUGAGAGGAUGAUUAGCCACAUUGGGACUGAGACACGGCCCAAACUCCUACGGGAGGCAGCAGUGGGGAAUAUUGGACAAUGGGGGCAACCCUGAUCCAGCCAUGCCGCGUGAGUGAUGAAGGCCCUAGGGUUGUAAAGCUCUUUUGUGCGGGAAGAUAAUGACGGUACCGGAAGAAUAAGCCCCGGCUAACUUCGUG
rnacentral:rRNA from 1 species